ACCUUCUUUGUCAUGGGGUGACGUAGGAAGCUCAAUGAGCGUCUAGCGAGAGUUUCCUUGCUAACACCACAAUAUCAACACUUUAGCGUCACCUGGGCUUCGGCCCAGGCCCGGCGCAAUUUUUGGAACC
ensembl:snRNA U4atac minor spliceosomal RNA